rnacentral:rRNA from 1 species
GGGUUAGUGGCGGACGGGUGAGUAACGCGUGAUUUUUGCCGCUCAGGAGGUGCGGAUAACAGUUGGAAACGACUGCUAAUACCCCAUAUGCCGAGAGGUGAAACGAAUUUUGCCUGGGUGAUGAGCUCGCGUCGUGAUUAGCUUGUUGGUGGGGUAAAAGCCUACCAAGGCUUCGAUCAGUAGCUGGUCUGAGAGGACGAUCAGCCACACUGGGACUGAGAUACGGCCCAGACUCCUACGGGAGGCAGCAGUGGGGAAUUUUCCGCAAUGGGCGCAAGCCUGACGGAGCAACGCCGCGUGAGGGAUGAAGGCCUUUGGGCUGUAAACCUCUUUUCUCAAGGAAGAAGAUCUGACGGUACUUGAGGAAUAAGCCACGGCUAAUUCCGUGCCAGCAGCCGCGGUAAUACGGGAGUGGCAAGCGUUAUCCGGAAUUAUUGGGCGUAAAGCGUCCGCAGGCGGCCGUUUAAGUCUGUUGUUAAAUCGUGGAGCUCAACUCCAUCACGGCAAUGGAAACUGUUCGGCUUGAGUAUGGUAGGGGCAGAGGGAAUUUCCGGUGUAGCGGUGAAAUGCGUAGAUAUCGGGAAGAACACCAGUGGCAAAGCGCUCUGCUGGCCAUUACUGACGCUCAUGGACGAAAGCCAGGGGAGCGAAAGGGAUUAGAUACCCCUGUAGUCCUGGCCGUAAACGAUGAACACUAGAUGUUGGGGGAAUCGACCCCUCCGGUG